CUCGGUUUUUGACAAACAAAUGCAGUGGGAUGCCUGCUCGGCCGACUGCCGCCCGGCCCCGAGCCCUGGGCUCACUCCUCAGCCUGCUGCCGAGUUUCGCUCCGCAGUCCUGCGCGGCAUACGCCGAGCUUCGCCCCCUUGCCCAGGUCUGCAGAUGGAUGGAUGCUGGGCAGGCUUCCUUCCCCUGGUCGGGUUAACGCCGGCUUAGGAUAAAGCCCCAAAGCUCCCACGUUGGGCCUCCUGUUUAUCAGCCCGCCCCACCACCACUACCAAAGGACGUGCCCCUUUGGUAGUGUCGGGGCUCCCAGCCCAAGCGAGGGGGAGGACACCUCCCUAUCCCCUCCUCCCCAUCCGCGCGGCGGCUCGGGGUUUUACUGCAGCAGCCGGAGGUGACAGCGACGCCUUAGCCUCCUCCGUUGCUCUCAGAGCCCCGGCUUCCCCUGCAUCCGGAAAGCGCCCCCUCCAGAGAGGCUGGUCCCCGGAGAAGUGCUAACGAGCUGCAGAAAACCAAAUUUAAAAAUGUAGAAGUCGCUGGGCUGCAUUCCUCCGAGGACGAGCCUGAUCGCCCAGGACUGAGAGUGGCAGCGUGUGGGAAGUUGGGACCGUAGAGCAAGGGGGGAGGGGAGUGGUGCAGCCGGCAUUCUCUUCUGGAAGGAAUCGCUGGGAGCAGUGCUGUUGGACACAAGUUUGCGUGGGAGUGUUUUCCUUUUGUCAAUAAUUAAUCACCGGAAUCAGCCUGGCAGAAUUGGAGUUUUAGCAAUAGUGCAGAGGGCGGGGCCGAACACCUAACUCCAGGACGCUCCGAACCACCCGGCGCAGUGGGAAGCUGGCAGCAGCUGGGGAGGAGCCAAAGCCUGGGUGCUCACCUAAGCCGCAGGGAGAUACACCCAACCGGGAGAUGAAGAAACAGCAACCCAGAGAAGAGAAGUAACCCACACAGGAUCAUUCCACAGAGGCACAAGGGCAAGAACCCAAUCUGGACCCUCCCUGGCAGGCAGAUGUCCUUAAUUCACAAAUCCCUCUGGAAUCUGUCAGCAAAUGCCAAACAACAAGGAUUACUUUGAAAUUACAGUUACUCAAUACAUGCCAUGCUGCCCAGUGGUCUCAGUUGAGAGUUGGACUGGAAACACAUGUUUUCUAUUGUUCUGCUUUUAUUUAGUGUCAGUUAAAUUUGGAGGUAAUAAAGUUGGUCCAGAUAGCCACAAAAACACUCUGCUUUUGUGUAUGAUUCAAACCAACACUGUACCAACAACAACUUGGCUAAACUGUUAGUGAGACUUUUUCCUUUUAGUACUAUUUCAGUAACUCACUUCUAAGUACGAGAGUAGAAAACUUAGAGUAACUUUUGCCCAAAGCGGUAACAUCCUUUGACUUAUAAUUGUUUGUUUCUUCCUCUCUGAGGAAUCUAGAGAAUUGUCCAAAUCCAUCACUUCUGGUCUGACUUCCAAUAUUAACCCUGGUAUCAGCAUAAAGAAUUGGUUGCCAAAGGACGGCUGGAGCGUAUUCUAAGAUGGAAGGGAAAUUCACAUGAAAAUGUUAAGCAAGGAUGGAACUUUCUAUGAGGCACAGAAAACAUUGGCGUCAUCCACAGAAAACUUAGAGCAAGAUAUCUGGAAAAGUGGGAAGCCAAUAAACUGCUAUUAUGCCUGAUUCUUACAUAGACAUGAUAGGAGGUUUUGCCAUUAAUCAUAGGAACUCUGUGUCUUUGUGAAUCAAAUCAUGUUCAUAUAAAGAAGCAGCUUUUGAUUAGGUCCCCAAGACAAAAACUAUUACUUAAGGUUGGGCAGGGCACAGCCCACACAGUGGUAUGUGGUAACCCUGCCCAAGAUAUUUGAAAAUGUGCUUGGAGAUUGUGGUGCCUUUCAAGUAGUGGUUUGUGGUCAUCGCUAUAUAUGUGUGUUGUUGUAUUUUUUAUUUUUUCAAAAACAUUACUAGGCAAUCCAACUAGCAAACACAAAUAAGGGCUGAGGUUUUCUUUUCCCCAUAAAAUAUACAAAGCACUCCGUUAUAGAUAACCGUUAUUUCACAAAGACUCUUUGACUUUAUAACUUAAGAAAAUCUUGCAAAUAGUUUAAAGCGGUACCAAUUCAUAAGAAACAACAACAAAUACUACUAUGACUAUGACUUCUAAAGAGCUCACAACCCAUCCCUACAUUCUUUACAUCAGUGAGACAGACUUAGAGACAAUUAUGAAUUAUCUUUAUUUUACACAGAGAAGCUGUGACCCAGAAGAUUUUGGAACUUGUUCAAGGACACAAAGUAAAAUGAAUGAAUUAAUGAAUGAAUGAUGACAAAACAGUAAAGCUGAAACAGAAUUCAGGUCUUCAGAUGUUCUCUCAUCCUGUGAUUUUUUUCUAUUAGAACAAUUUUUCUACCUACCAAUCUUAAAUUAUUACUCACCUAGAGUAAGCACUUGUAAAAGCCAUUUUAAUGGGCUUUAAAACCACUUCACAAGUAGUUUUUUGUUCCCCACAGAGUCUGUGAACUUUUAACAGUAUGAGAAGGAAAGAAAAAAAAGCAUUUGUUACACUGAAAAAAAUUUAGUACCAGCUUCUUCUUUCCUUCCUACAAAAAGACAGAUUGUACUGAAUUUAUAAAAAACAAUCUGCCUAAACCUCAUUGCCUGAAAGUAGACAAUGAGAAUUCAUAACUACCUUUUAUGUACCCCACAUUGUGCUGUGGAAAUAUUAAAUAAGUACAGGUGUGAUCCCUUCCCUCACCCCACUUACAAUCCAGUCAGCCAUCCAUCCAGCCAUCCAGCUCAUGAGCCAGCAUACAAGUAUCCCUCAUUGCAGACAGCGGAGAUAAAGAGCUGACUGGGGCAUAUUCACAGUUCUCAAAGACCUCGUAGUCUAGGGGAGAAACAGACUGUACAUGGCUAAUUAUAAUAUGGUGUAAGUGCUAAAACACUGCUCUAGUAGUAACACAUAAAAGAAAGCAAUAUAUUUCCCUUGGGAAGGGUAGUCUCUUGGGAAUGUUUCAUAGAAGGGAGAAUAUAGGAGCUAGGAUUAUGAAAGUAAUCAGGAUUAUGUCUAGAAGAGAAAGGGCACAAGAGCAUUUCCAGAAAAAAAAAAAAGAUGAACAAAAGCAUAGAAGCUUAAGAGUAAAUGGAAUUUAGCAGGAGAGUUCAGAGAUGCUACUGGAGAGGUAGAGAAAUCAAACUCUGAAGGGCCUCAGAGGAAUGUUUCAUAUCAUAGGAAAUGGAGAGCCACUGAAGGGUUUCAAGCAGAGAAAUUAAUCUGUGAUUUUAGAAAGUUAAUUCCAGCAGCAGGAUGGAAGAUUUUAAGGUGAAAAGGAGAUAAGUUGGUAGGCUAUUUCAUUAGUUCAAGCAAGAGAUGGAGAGAAUCCAUAGCACUGCCCAAUAAAAUUUGCUGCAAUGAUGAAAAUGUUCUACAUCCAUGCUGUCCCAUAUGGUAGCCAUGAGCCACAUGUGGCUACAGAGCACUAAACAUUUAAAUUGCCACAUGUGACUAGUAGCUGCCAUAUUGGACAGUGCAGAGGCAUCUUAGAGAAGCUGGCACUUGAGUUAAGCCUUAAAGGAGGAUUUUUCCAAUUGGUGUAGCUCACAAUUGGGAUAUUUUUCAAUCACCAAAGAGAAUAACAUAGAAUACACUAGAGCUAAUCAAAGAGAAUAGAAUAAAAAAAAAAGCAUGCACUGCAGAGUAAUAUUGUUGAGAGAUGUUUGUUUCGGUUAUGUAGCUGGGUUUGUGUGUGUGUGUGUGUGUGUGUGUGUGUGUGUGUGUGUACCCUGGAUCACAAUGUAAAUGUACUUUCCCUCUCCAUUCUGCUUAAAAAUGUUUGAAAGCCAUUCCUUUAUGAAAGGGUAUGAUUUAACUAUGUUCAGAGUUAUUAGGAAAACGUUUCCAGAAACGCAGAGUUUAAGUUCAUUGGAGUUUAGAAUAGGGAAUAGGGAUAACUCUGGACCUUUCAAGACUUUCUUAAUUACUAUUUUGCCUUCCAAAAAUUAAUAGACUUUAUUAUUUAGAACAGCUUUAGACUUACAGAAAAGUUGAGAAGAUAGUACAGAGUCUCCACAUGCCCUGUACCCAGUUUCCCCUACUAAUAUCUUACAUUAGUAUGACACAUGUGUUACAAUUAAUGAGCCAAUGUUGAUAUGCUAUUCAGUAAAGCUAGUAUGUUACUCGUAUUUCCUUGGCUUUUACCUAGUAUCCUUUUUUCCUUUCCAGGAUUCCACCCGGAAUAACACGUUGCAUCUAGUUGUUGUGUUUCCAUAGGCUGCUUUGAGCUAUGACAGUUUUUCACACUUAGCUUGUUUCUGAUGACCUUGAGAGUUUAAGGGGUACAUAUUCUACAGCAUGCUACUCUGUUGGAAUUUUGUCUGGUGUUUUUUCUCAUGAUUAGACUGAGGUUGUCAGUUAUUUGGGAUAAAAACACAGAGGUAAAGUGCCAUUUUCAUGCCAUGAUAUCAUAGAUACCUACCAUUAACAUCAUUUAUCACUAUUGAUGUUGGCCUUGAUCCACUGGCUGAGGUAGUGCUUAAUCAGUCUUCUCCACUGUAAAUUUACUUUUUUAUCUCCCUUUUCAAAUAGUACUCUUUGGAAGGAAAUCACUCUGCUCCUUUUAAAAAUGAAUUACUUAAUUAAAGGGAGGCUUGAACUUGGAGUAAAUCAUAUUGAGUUCCUUCCAAAAGGAAACCUACUUCUGAGAACAGACACAGUCUCUUUUUAGAUUCAGUGUCUCUUUCUGUAGCAGGCAGAAUAAUUUUUUCACAUCUCAGAUUUUCAGGUUCCUAAUAUGAAGCACACACACAAAAGCUGAGUGACUGACAUAGAGUUCCAAAGUAAGUCAGAAAGGAAUUAACCCAAAAUCAAUUGCAAAUCCUUCUGACUUUUCUCCUCAGCCCCAGAUUCUGAUGUUUUAGAAGUAAAUUUAACCCAAAAUGUGUUGGAGGGUGCUUUUUUUAAUCCCCCAAGAGAGAAGAUUCAUUUUUAGCUAAUGUUUAGAAAGGAAGAUCUCAUACUGAGAAAAUCCAGGUAUUUGGAGUACCUUCUUUAGGUGCAGGAUCACGUGUUCUGUGAUAUUAGCAAGGUAAAUUCCACCCUGCCAAACCACCUGCUACUUACCUCUCACUGCAGUUGCCUAACUUUCGGCCACUCCUAUUCCCAUGGACAGAAAACAACACAGAACUUCUGAGCAAGCCCCACCUCCACAUUUGUUACAUCCCUGCACGUUCCCUUUACAGUAUUCUCAUUUCAUGACUCAAACAUGGGUUCAUGGGAACACAUGUUGUUGUUUGUUUUUCAUUGUUGAUGUUGCUCUAUUUAUCCUUUCUUGUCCAUUCAGGCCGGAACAAAGUCCUGCUCCUGAGUAAUGUGUGUCAUAAGUCCCAGGUCCUCCCUGUUCAUUCUGGGAAAAGAGGUGAAACUUUAUCUCCUUCCUCACUGGACACAACUCUAGUGAGAGAAAAAAAUCAUCAUCUGUUGAUAAAAAAAGGGCAGUGACAUUCAGAAAUAAAAUAUAGUCACUUACUCUCCAAUCAAUUGUAGGAUAACUUCUUAGGGGACUUCCAAGCCCUUACUGUUUUCCACUGCCCCAGUGUCCCUGUUCAUUUGCUGGAUUCUCUGUAGGAUUCAGUCUCUUCCUGUGGUUCCCAGGACUCUAAUAAUCCUUCUCCCUCUUCCUCCCCUGAACUUGGUAAAACUCUGCUUUGGGUCUUUUAACCAUACUAAGAUGUACAUCACUAACAAGAACCUUAAUUUUUGCCAGUUCCAGGUAACAUUUGCAUUAAAUAGGCAUCAGGAUCCACAUUUGGUUAGAGGAGCAUAUGAACUGUGGGAUUCAGGAAAGAGUCCUGAGUAAGGCAAGAAGAGUAGAGACUGGGGAAACAGGGUAGGGCUGAAGUCUUCCAGAUACCCUACAUACCUGGCUCCAUUGUCCUUGCUCAAGACUGAGUCUUCUAAGACCACAGAAAACCUUCACUGGACUUUUCACUUCUUUCAUCCAAUGUUAAUUCCCAAAACACAGGGUGUUCCCUGCCUGGUCCAGUCACUUCCAUUCAGUUUGACAAACCAAUUUAAAUGUCAACAAAUUCAAUAUCAAUUUGGUGUUAGCCCCAUAGACUUGGCCCUUUUCUUUAAACUGAGUGAUUUGGUCUAGGGGAUCUCAGUUCCAUUAACAUUCUAGAUUUCAUUUUAACAUUCUAGAUUUCACUUUAGCUGCCCAACACAUGUGGCAAAUAUUGUCCAUAAUGUAUAUGGGUGGAAUAUACUCAACUGAAUUAGAAUCCUCAAGGGUGCCUGGGUGGCUCAGUUUGUUGAGCCUCCGACUUUGGCUCAGGUCACGAUCUCACAGUUUGUGGGUUUGAGCCCCACGUCAGGCUCUGUGCUGACUGCUUGCUCAGAGCCUGGA